CCUACGGGAGGCAGCAGUGAGGAAUAUUGGUCAAUGGACGGAAGUCUGAACCAGCCAUGCCGCGUGCAGGAUGACGGCUCUAUGAGUUGUAAACUGCUUUUGUACAAGGGUAAACCUGAAUACGUGUAUUCAGCUGAAAGUACUGUACGAAUAAGGAUCGGCUAAAUACGUGCCAUCAGCCGCGGUAAUACGGAGGAUCCAAGCGUUGUCCGGAUUUAUUGGGUUUCAAGGUUGCGUAGGGGGGUUGAUAAGUUAGAGGUGAAAUGUCCGGGCUUAAAUCGGGAACUGCCUCGAAUACUGUUGAUCUAGAGAGUAGAUGCGGUAGGCGGAAUGUAUGGUGUAGCGGUGAAAUGCUUAGAGAUCAUACAGAACACCGAUUGCGAAGGCAGCUUACCAAGCUAUAUCUGACGUUGAGGCACGAAAGCGUGGGGAGCAAACAGGAUUAGAUACCCUUGUAGUC
rnacentral:rRNA from 1 species